AUUUGUAGGGUAGAAAGUUAUUGCUGUUAUAUGGUAGUAAUACGUCCUCGCUAGGAUGCAGAGCCUCUGUCCUUGCAGGUUUUCAUGACUCAGCCAGAAAAGACCCAGCUGACCUGGUCUCGUGCUGGCCGUAGUCCUGCUCCACACCGGAGGCUGGAUAAGGACCUCCAGAGGUCACUUCCAAUCAAGGAUUCUAUGAAUAACCCCGAAUCAUUCGGAGCAGAGAUUUACUGCAAUAAAAUCCCUUGCCUUUUUUAGUUGUAGCGAAGCAGUCCGCCCGCUCUUUCCUUUGUAGCUGCAGAUGGAGGCAGGUGUAGCAAACACAGUUCCUCAUAAUUCCCCAGGGAAAACCAAUUUUUUUUAUAGGUUUUUUCCUUGUCCCUUUUCCGUUAGUUACUUCCCAGCCUCUCUCCUUGUCCUUCCUGGGUAAGAGGCAGAGCUGGUGGUUUGUGUAGUACAAGUAGUUAAAUCAGCUGCGAUCUUGCAGUUGGGUUUUUCAACGUGUUCUGACACCAAGUUUAUUUAAAUGGGAUUGAACGGGAAAGUUUUUCUGGGUAGUAAUUGGCAUUUGUUCUUUGAAAAAGUGCUGUCAUGUUCUGCAGCCUGUCUAGGUGUUAGACAUUCGGGAUUUCCAUUUUGUUUCCUAAAGGUGCAUUCCUCGCUCUCUCUCGACACUCAGGAUAAAAAGUAGUGCAAUUAAAACUCAGUGUGGCUGUGGGAGGUGUCCUGGUGACUGCAAUACCACGGACAGCAAAAGAAGGAAAUGACAGGGCACCUGAAUUUUUAGCAGUUCUUCUUUCUGAAUUUCAUGUUUGUUUUUUUUUUCCAUCUCUUUCACUAAAAUCAUCUUUUAUUACCAGGAAGUCAAAUUGCAUCAAUUGCUUUUUUUUUUUUUUUUUUUAAGCAUUAGGAGGCUGUAAGAUGCUUCUUGAGUACAGAUACCCCAUUUUCUUUUCCAAGCAAGGAUUAACUCCACCUAAUGCUUUCCUGAUAGUUGUCAGAGGUUUGUUGCAGUGGUUGAGACUCCCAGUGGUUGAGGCUUCAUGUGGACACUGAUAGAUUUGUUCUUCUGGCAAAGUUUUAUGUCAGUAGUUUACACCUGCUGCCUCUCAUCCUCUUCAUCAAAGGACAGGGAAAUUUCUCCCUUUUCUCUUUGCAGCAGCCCUUUCUAUGUUAGAGAUAUGUUGUCGUCAUCUCUUCGUAAGAUGCUGUCUGCAGUGUACCGAGCUCAAUUAGGUGAACUGAAAAUGGUAGAGCCCAUUCUUAUGCCAGAAUUGACUUCAGAACUGAUGCGAGCCUCUGUCAUCCUUAACAUCUGCAAAGCUCCAGAGUGAUUCCUCGGUAAUAAUCUGCUGUGCUGCUCUCUAGACCUGCGUUGGAAAGAUACGGGGAUGCCCCCAGUUCUUCCUGUCAAGUUUCUAACUCAUCGC